rfam:Schistosoma rodhaini strain Burundi genome assembly, scaffold: SROB_scaffold0000200
AUCCAGCUAACGAGUCCCAAAUAAAACGAAACGUUCGUCCUGGAU